UACGGGGGGAGCAAGCGUUGUUCGGGUUUACUGGGCGUAAAGGGCGCGUAGGCGGUCACGACAAGUCAGUUGUGAAAUCUCCGGGCUUAACCCGGAAAGGUCAGCCGAUACUGCGGGGCUAGAGUGCAGAAGGGGCAACUGGAAUUCUCGGUGUAGCGGUGAAAUGCGUAGAUAUCGAGAGGAACACCUGCGGCGAAGGCGGGUUGCUGGGCUGACACUGACGCUGAUGCGCGAAAGCUAGGGGAGCGAACCGG
rnacentral:rRNA from 1 species